CCUACGGGAGACAGCAGUGAGGAAUAUUGGUCAAUGGCCGGAAGGCUGAACCAGCCAUGCCGCGUGAAGGUCAGUGCCCUAUGGGCGUUAAACUUCUUUUGUGCGGGAGCAAUAAUGGUCACGUGUGGCCAGACGAGAGUACCGUACGAAUAAGCAUCGGCUAACUCCGUGCCAGCAGCCGCGGUAAUACGGGGGAUGCAAGCGUUAUCCGGGUUUAUUGGGUUUAAAGGGUGCGUAGGCUGUGAGGUAAGUCAGCGGUGAAAUGCCCCCGCUCAACGGGGUGAAGUGCCAUUGAUACUGGCUUGCUGGAAUGCGGAUGCCGUAGGAGGAAUGUGUGGUGUAGCGGUGAAAUGCAUAGAUAUCACACAGAACACCGAUUGCGAAGGCAGCUCACGAAUCCGCGAUUGACGCUGAUGCGCGAAAGCGUGGGUAUCAAACAGGAUUAGAUACCCUUGUAGUC
rnacentral:rRNA from 1 species